AGAAUCAACGCUGGCGGCGUGCCUAACACAUGCAAGUCGAACGCGAAAGGGCUUCGGCCCUGAGUAGAGUGGCGAACGGGUGAGUAACACGUGGGUGAUCUACCUUUGAGUGGGGGAUAACGUCCCGAAAGGGACGCUAAUACCGCAUGACGUUCUGGGUUUGAAGACCUGGAAACCAAAGCCGGGGACCGCAAGGCCUGGCGCUUGAAGAGGAGCCCGCGUCCGAUUAGCUUAGUUGGCGGGUAAUGGCCCACCAAGGCGACGAUCGGUA
rnacentral:rRNA from 1 species